GCAGAGCCCACUUUUGACUACCUUUUUCGGUGUCUCCAAGUUUAAAUGAUUCAGAUUUUGAAAACCUACCAUCUGUUAACAAAUAAUGUUCUCACCAUGAAGGCAGUGAUUAUGUUUGUUGCAAUUUCACAAGACAAGAAACCAAGAAAAAUAUAAGAAUAGAAAUCAGAGAAGAGCAAAUUCUAAAGGAAAGACUCUAUAUGAAAUGAAAAAGCAUGAACAAACCAUCUUUGCUGCCAGGGGAUUAAGGGUAAAAGAAUGUGAAGCAAAACUAUGGUUAGUUGAAGUUGUAAGAGUGAAGAAGAGAGGGAGAAUGUUACAAAGAAGAUGUGAUUAUGAUGGAUGGUGCUUCAAAGCAAUUAUAAAGUUUCCAUCAGCUGUAUUUACAUGGCCAAUUAUAUGAAUCUUGUCAACCUUCUGGCCUGCUACAUUGUUGCUGAAAAAAUCUGGCUUCAUCUGAAAGUGUCCCCAUUAGAAGCACAAGAGAGCAGCAGGCCAAAGAACACAUUCUCCCUUUAAAUAUGGGGUGCUGGAACAGACAUUAAUUUAUUAAACCAAGAUUGAA